rnacentral:rRNA from 1 species
UACGUAGGGGGCUAGCGUUGUCCGGAAUCACUGGGCGUAAAGGGCGCGUAGGCGGCCUGAUAAGUAGGGGGUGAAAUCCUGCGGCUUAACCGCAGGGCUGCCUUCUAAACUGUCAGGCUAGAGCACGGUAGAGGCAGAUGGAAUUCCCGGUGUAGCGGUGGAAUGCGUAGAGAUCGGGAAGAACGCCAAGGGCGAAGGCACUCUGCUAGGCCUGAUUUCGCGACUGACACUCAGGGACGAGAGCCAGGGGAGCGAAUGGG